CAGUAGCCGCGGGAAAACGUAGGUGGCAAGCGUUGUCCGGAAUUAUUGGGCGUAAAGCGCGCGCAGGCGGAUAGGUCAGUCUGUCUUAAAAGUUCGGGGCUUAACCCCGUGAUGGGAUGGAAACUGCCAAUCUAGAGUAUCGGAGAGGAAAGUGGAAUUCCUAGUGUAGCGGUGAAAUGCGUAGAUAUUAGGAAGAACACCAGUGGCGAAGGCGACUUUCUGGACGAAAACUGACGCUGAGGCGCGAAAGCCAGGGGAGCGAACGGGAUUAGAUACCCCGGUAGUCCCUGUCUCUUAUACA
rnacentral:rRNA from 1 species